rnacentral:rRNA from 1 species
GAUGAACGCUAGCUACAGGCUUAACACAUGCAAGUCGAGGGGUAACAAGAGAAAAGCCUGCUUUUCUUGUUGACGACCGGCGCACGGGUGAGUAACGCGUAUCCAACCUGCCUAUAACUAGGGAAUAACCUUGCGAAAGUAAGACUAAUACCCUAUGAUUUCCUUUGAUGGCAUCAGAUUAGGAAUAAAGAUUUAUCGGUUAUAGAUGGGGAUGCGUCUGAUUAGCUUGUUGGCGGGGUAACGGCCCACCAAGGCAACGAUCAGUAGGGGUUCUGAGAGGAAGGUCCCCCAAAUUGGAACGGAGACACGGUCCAAACUCCUACGGGAGGCAGCAGUGAGGAAUAUUGGUCAAUGGGCGGAAGCCUGAACCAGCCAAGUAGCGUGCAGGAUGACGGCCCUAUGGGUUGUAAACUGCUUUUAUACAGGAAUAAAGUUAGCCACGUGUGGUUAUUUGUAGGUACUGUAUGAAUAAGGACCGGCUAAUUCCGUGCCAGCAGCCGCAGUAA